UGAUCAGCAUGCCGCGUGUGUGAAGAAGGCCUUCGGGUUGUAAAGCACUUUUGUCCGGAAAGAAAUGGCUCUGGUUAAUACCUGGGGUCGAUGACGGUACCGGAAGAAUAAGGACCGGCUAACUACGUGCCAGCAGCCGCGGUAAUACGUAGGGUCCAAGCGUUAAUCGGAAUUACUGGGCGUAAAGCGUGCGCAGGCGGUUGUGCAAGACCGAUGUGAAAUCCCCGAGCUUAACUUGGGAAUUGCAUUGGUGACUGCACGGCUAGAGUGUGUCAGAGGGGGGUAGAAUUCCACGUGUAGCAGUGAAAUGCGUAGAGAUGUGGAGGAAUACCGAUGGCGAAGGCAGCCCCCUGGGAUAACACUGACGCUCAUGCACGAAAGCGUGGGGAGCAAACAGGAUUAGAUACCCUGGUAGUCCACGCCCUAAACGAUGUCAACUAGUUGUUGGGGAUUCAUUUCCUUAGUAACGUAGCUAACGCGUGAAGUUGACCGCCUGGGGAGUACGGUCGCAAGAUUAAAACUCAAAG
rnacentral:rRNA from 1 species